CCCCCCCCCCCCCCCCCCCCCCCCCCCCCCCCCCCCCCCCCCCCCCCCCCCCCCGCUGUCCCGUUGCCGCCGCUGCUGCCCUGCUGCUGCUGCGUUCUUGCCCCGCUGCUGUUUUUUUUCCCCCUCCCUUCUUCCCCUCAUCUCGAAGAUCUGUACCGGCUCCGGACGGGGACCUGAACCUCAGAGACUGCCUCUGGAGUCUGCCAAACAAGCUCGUCGCCCUUCCCAGCCGCGACUGUCUGAGCUCGUCCAUCCUCACUCACUUUGAUGAAAACGUUUUUUGUCAUCUGGGGAUCGUUCUUUCCUGGAUUAUUUACUACAAAUUGCUGCACUUCUGCCAGAAGCGGGUACUAAAAGUUCUGCACACCUUCAGUGGCAAUGGCUGGGCUGGUGUGGGGUGCUGAGGAUGUCAGUGCUUGCCUUUGAACUGAUAUUCCAGAUGAGAAACCACUCCUGCCAUGUUUGGUUCUCAUCAUCU
rnacentral:lncRNA from 12 species